GUGGGGGAUAUUGCACAAUGGGGGGAACCCUGAUGCAGCGACGCCGCGUGGGUGAAGAAGCGCCUCGGCGCGUAAAGCCCUGUCAGCAGGGAAGAAAAUGGACGGUACCUGAAGAAG
rnacentral:rRNA from 1 species